rnacentral:rRNA from 1 species
CAAUAGCGUAUACUAAUAUUGUUGCAGUUAAAAGCUCGUAGUCGGAUUUCAGUUUGUUUAUACAUGCUACUUUUUGGUUUAUUGUAUUAACUUACUUUUUGACAGAAACGUUUAAAUCAUUCAUUUGGUUUAAUUUGGGACUGUCUCAAUUACUUUGAGAAAAUUAGAGUGUUCAAAGCAGAUAACUGUCUGAAUAUUACUCUUGGAAUAAUAAUACAGGACUUCAGUUCUAGUUUGUUGGUGAUCUGGGACCGGAGUAAUGAUUGAUAGGGACGGUUGGGGUCAUUCAUACUGCAAAGCGAGAGGUGAAAUUCUUGGACCUUUGUAUGAUGAACAACUGCGAAAGCAUUUGACUAGGACGUUCCCGUUGAUCAAGAACGAAAGUUGGGGGAUCGAAGACGAUCAGAUACCA